AUGGAAAGUGCCUGGAUCCUCGACACUGUUGUGCUAAUGACUACUCUCAAACUGAAGAGCUUGAGGCAAGCAUCUGGGUGCAGGUGGUUCAUCUGGGAGUUCUGGAGAUCAGAAGUCUGAAAUCAGUUUGGCUAGGCGGAAGUCAAGGUGUCAACAGGGGCAUGCUCCCUCCAGAGGAUCAAGGACAGAAUCCAUUUUCUUGCCUUUUCCAGCUUCUACAACUGC